rnacentral:rRNA from 1 species
UACGGAGGAUGCGAGCGUUAUCCGGAUUUAUUGGGUUUAAAGGGUGCGUAGGCGGACUGUCAAGUCAGCGGUAAAAUUGAGAGGCUCAACCUCUUCCCGCCGUUGAAACUGGUGGUCUUGAGUGGAUGAGAAGUGCGCGGAAUGCGUGGUGUAGCGGUGAAAUGCAUAGAUAUCACGCAGAACUCCGAUUGCGAAGGCAGCGUACCGGCAUCCAACUGACGCUGAGGCACGAAAGCGUGGGUAUCGAACAGG